ensembl:snRNA U6 U6 spliceosomal RNA
GUGCUCGCUUCAGCAGCUCAUACACUAAAAUAGGAAUGAUUCAGAGAGAUUAGCAUGGCCCCUGCACAAGCAUGACAUGCAAAUUCAUGAGGUGUUUUACAUUUUU